rnacentral:rRNA from 1 species
AUGAACGCUAGCUACAGGCUUAACACAUGCAAGUCGAGGGGCAGCAUGGUCUUAGCUUGCUAAGACUGAUGGCGACCGGCGCACGGGUGAGUAACACGUAUCCAACCUGCCGUCUACUCUUGGACAGCCUUCUGAAAGGAAGAUUAAUACAAGAUGGCAUCAUGAGUCCGCAUGUUCACAUGAUUAAAGGUAUUCCGGUAGACGAUGGGGAUGCGUUCCAUUAGAUAGUAGGCGGGGUAACGGCCCACCUAGUCUUCGAUGGAUAGGGGUUCUGAGAGGAAGGUCCCCCACAUUGGAACUGAGACACGGUCCAAACUCCUACGGGAGGCAGCAGUGAGGAAUAUUGGUCAAUGGGCGAGAGCCUGAACCAGCCAAGUAGCGUGAAGGAUGACUGCCCUAUGGGUUGUAAACUUCUUUUAUAAAGGAAUAAAGUCGGGUAUGCAUACCCGUUUGCAUGUACUUUAUGAAUAAGGAUCGGCUAACUCCGUGCCAGCAGCCGCGGUAAUACGGAGGAUCCGAGCGUUAUCCGGAUUUAUUGGGUUUAAAGGGAGCGUAGAUGGAUGUUUAAGUCAGUUGUGAAAGUUUGCGGCUCAACCGUAAAAUUGCAGUUGAUACUGGAUAUCUUGAGUGCAGUUGAGGCAGGCGGAAUUCGUGGUGUAGCGGUGAAAUGCUUAGAUAUCACGAAGAACUCCGAUUGCGAAGGCAGCCUGCUAAGCUGCAACUGACAUUGAGGCUCGAAAGUGUGGGUAUCAAACAGGAUUAGAUACCCUGGUAGUCCACACGGUAAACGAUGAAUACUCGCUGUUUGCGAUAUACGGCAAGCGGCCAAGCGAAAGCGUUAAGUAUUCCACCUGGGGAGUACGCCGGCAACGGUGAAACUCAAAGGAAUUGACGGGGGCCCGCACAAGCAGUGGAGUAUGUGGUUUAAUUCGACGCAACGCGAAGAACCUUACCAAGGCUUGACAUUGAUUGAACGCUCUAGAGAUAGAGCUUUCCCUUCGGGGACAAGAAAACAGGUGGUGCAUGGCUGUCGUCAGCUCGUGUCGUGAGAUGUUGGGUUAAGUCCCGCAACGAGCGCAACCCUUAUCCUUUGUUGCCAGCGGUCCGGCCGGGAACUCAAAGGAGACUGCCAGUGAUAAACUGGAGGAAGGUGGGGAUGACGUCAAAUCAUCAUGCCCCUUAUGACCUGGGCUACACACGUAAUACAAUGGCGGUCAACAAAGGGAUGCGAAGCCGCGAGGCAGAGCGAACCCCAAAAAGCCGUCCCAGUUCGGAUCGCAGGCUGCAACCCGCCUGCGUGAAGUCGGAAUCGCUAGUAAUCGCAGGUCAGCAUACUGCGGUGAAUACGUUCCCGGGCCUUGUACACACCGCCCGUCAAGCCAUGAAAGCCGGGGGUACCUGAAGUGCGUAACCGCAAGGAGCGCCCUAGGGUAAAACUGGUGAUUGGGGCU